AGUGAACGCUGGCGGUAGGCCUAACACAUGCAAGUCGAACGGCAGCACAGUAAGAGCUUGCUCUUACGGGUGGCGAGUGGCGGACGGGUGAGGAAUACAUCGGAAUCUACUUUUUCGUGGGGGAUAACGUAGGGAAACUUACGCUAAUACCGCAUACGACCUACGGGUGAAAGCAGGGGAUCUUCGGACCUUGCGCGAUUGAAUGAGCCGAUGUCGGAUUAGCUAGUUGGCGGGGUAAAGGCCCACCAAGGCGACGAUCCGUAGCUGGUCUGAGAGGAUGAUGGGCAACACUGGAACUGAGAAACGGACCAGACUCCUACGGGAGGAAGAAGUGGGGAAUAUUGGACAAUGGGCGCAAGCCUGAUCAAGACAGACCGCGUGGGGGAAGAAGGCCUUCGGGUUGUAAAGCCCGUUUGUUGGGAAAGAAAAGCAGCAGGGUAAUACCCCGAUGUUCUGACGGUACCCAAAGAAUAAGCAACGGCUAACUUCGUG
rnacentral:rRNA from 1 species